GCCGGCCGGGUUUUCGGCCCAGGUGCCCCUGCCUCUGCAGAGCCGGUGGAUGUGGAACGAGCGGGAACCAGAGACAGCUUUGGAAAUUGGGCUUCCAGCAAGUGCUUGCACCCAUGUAUGGAGACUGUGAACUAAGCUUUUGCCCCACGCCGGCUAACGGAGGAAAUAACCUUCCUUCUUGGUCUCUCUCCCCUCCGGGAGAAGGCGUGGUGUCCGACAUUUUGUGGGUCCGUUGAGAAGGCUGUGGGUCCCGAUGUGGAGUUCUUCAGGCGACCUUCUUGGUCUUAUCUUGGCAUUAAAAUCACUGACAAUGAUCUUGCAGAAGGUGUGGUCUUCUUUAUAGAACUUCUCCAGCUCCACGUAGAACUUCUCAAUUUCUUCUUCAUCAUAGUCUGCCAGUGGACAGUUCCACAAGGAGAUUAACCACAUCAUAUUCAAUUGAAGGUUUGCCUGACUGAUGUCUCUGUUGUCCCAAAAUUCCAAACGGGAUCGGACCACCGACUCCUUCAUGCAAAAUUCUACUUCACAGAGUGGGGAAAAAGGAAUGCAAAGUGUAAGUUUAAGAAGAGGACUCCCAGAAUAACCACCAACUGGGAGCUCUUUGGCACUAUUGCGGCAUCAUGGGAAGAUGCCAUCAUUGACAGCAUCGAUGAGGAAUAUGAUCAACUGGUUCAGCACCUCCAUGAUUGUGCAAAAAAUGCCGAGAGUGGGAAAGCCACAAACAGACGCCUGUCUUCGGAAAAUCUCGAGCUCAUUCGCCUACGUGGAUUGGCACAAGCCUCAAGCAACCACAAGCUAAUGUCUGAGCUCGUAAAUCUGUGCAGAGAAGCAAUAAAGGAAGACCUCAAAGAGAGAAGAGCAGUGUUGGCCGAUGCGAGUCAUCCUGAAUAGAAUAGGCAGAACACUAGAUAAAGGACAACCACAUGAGCAAGCCGAGUUCUGAAAAGGAUUCAGCACAAUCGACCAUAUCCACAUGGUGACCAAGCUUAUUGAGGUUUCAUGAGAGUUCAAGAUGCUGCUCUAUGUUCAUCGACUUAAAAAAGGCCCUUGAUUCAGUUGAGACUGAAGUGGUCAUUGAAGCCCUAGCAAAACAGGGCAUUCAAGCUUAGUACAUCAAGAUCCCCCAUGAGCUGUAUUGAGGAUUCACUACCAGGGUCUCACCAUUCUACAAGGAAGUGAUCAUCGACGUAAAGAGAGGGGUUUGGCAGGGCGAUUCCAUUUCACCGAAACUCUUCAGUGCCACUCUCGAGAACAUCAUGCGGUGACUGGAAUGGGAAGGAAUGAGAGUGAAGAUAGACAGUCGCCAACUACACCAUCUCUGCUUCGCUGAUGACAUCAUUCUCAUAACACCAAACAUUAGCGAAGUGGCACAAAUGCUGGCUGACUUCGACCACAAGUGUGGGAAGGUCGGACUGCAGCUGAAUCUCAACAAAACAAUGCUUAUGAAAAAUGAACUAGUCCCUGACGUUCCAUUUGCUCUCAAUGGAACAAACAUCUCUGAAUGCAGCAGCUAUGUGUACCUGCGUUGAGAACUCAACAUGAGGAACGACUUGGCACCAGAACUGUGCAGGAGGAAGAGAGCUUAUGGAACACCUUCAAGAGCAUCAAAGAAGUGGUUAAAAGGACAAAGAAACUCUGGAUCCAGGCACAUCUUUUUGACUCCACCAUUCUUCCUGCACUAACAUAUGCCUCAGAGACCUGGGCCCUAUGCAAACAGGAUGAGAAAGCCAUUUGGGUAUCCCAAAGAGGAAUCGAAAGAGCUGUGCUAGGAGUAUCACAUUUCACUCAAGUGAGAGAAGGAAUCCAGUGUUCCAAACUCCAUCCACAGUCAAGAAUCAGGGAUACUGUCUCGUUUGCCAAGGCAUCAAAAAUCAGAUGGACCACACAUGUAAUGCGAUUCAGAGAAGACCACUGGACUAGAGCUGUUACUGACUGGAUUCCAUGGGACUUCAUAAAACCGAAUGGGCACUCACCAACAGGAUGGCCAGACUUCUUUGUCAAAACCCUGAAUGGGUUUGAGGCUCUUCCUGUUCCUGGAGCGAGCAGAUACCACUGGGUUACAUUAGCACGUGACAGGGACAAAUGGAGAUGUUACUGGCACCCGCUGGAACAGAUCGAAGAUCAACAGGAUGACAAGUGAUACACGUGAUAUCUCACAACCACAUCUGAUACUACUCAGAGCUUUCUCCUGGAUCUCUACUCAAAGUUCAUCCUGGAGGUGCUUAGAAAACCAUUUGUGGAGCCAGAAAUUGAAGCAGGGUUGACUGCAUGCAAG